rnacentral:tRNA from 1 species
UGAAGUAUAGUUUAACGAAAAAUAAGGGGUUUUGAUUCCCUAGAUGGAAGGUCAUGUCUUUCUACUUCAA